rnacentral:lncRNA from 1 species
UGAGAUUUGGUCCGCGCUGGAUGGCUCCUCUGGGAGGCAGGCGUGGGGGUCGGGUGUCGGAGGCCCCGUGCGCCCCCCCACCCCCCACCAGAGCCCACGGCGCUCACGGAGCUCUUUAAGAUAAAUGAGCAAAAUUAAGAGACUCACUGGGGGAAGAAAACACUGGAUGGGAGCGAGCGAGAGCGGAUGGUACUUGGUUUCCUCCCAGAAAUGCAUCCACGUGCGCCCCACUGGGGCCUCCCCCAUCUGCUGCAGACUCCAGGGAACUUCCUCCCCUCAAAGACGAACUUCCAGCCCUGGAGCAUGUUUCUUCCUUUCCUGGGAUGUGGCGCUGAAAAGGGCAGAAACCUCUAGUAAGGCACAAGCAACAGAUUGGGGGUGGAGCAGCAGGUCUCUUUGGAGGUGGCCUGGAAGAAACCGGACAGAGAGGAUGGGAAGGGGAGAAACAGAAGAGUGUGACGAGAUCAUGAAGGAAAGAGGAGGCGUCUACUGAAUGUAAGGUAGAGCCAAAGGCAUCUAUUGAUGACUGAAGAAGAGGCAUGAAUAUGACAAAAACAGGAAGACCACUAGAGAUUAGAAAAUUGUUCUCUGGGGUAUCUGACCACUUCCAGAGGAAAGACAUAAAGAUGCUGAUGUCAAGAAUGACCCAACUAAACGGCCCAGCCAGAUGACCCAGUUGAAGCUGGUGGACAAGAAGUUUCAUUCAUGGAAUCAGAACUUCCAAUAAGCUGGGAAAACGGCAAUGGAUUAAUAACAAGAAAUUAAUGGUGAAGUGGUGACGAAAAUUCUACAUUGCUUAGAAAGCAAAUAGUGAAAUGAACAUUUACAUUCUGGCAACCUCAGAAGUACAACGAACAGAGGACACCAGCCAGGCCCGUAGGUGGAAGGGACUUGCCUUGUCUCGG